rnacentral:ncRNA from 1 species
CAAUAAAUAAAAUUUUUAUGUUUUAAAGAAUUUAUUAUGAAUUUACUUUACAUAUAAAUUUUAGUAUGAAUUUUUAAUUAUUUUAAUAAUAAUUAAUUUUAAUUAAUAGUAAUUAAAAUUAAAAAUUUAAGAAAUUAAGAUUUAGUAAUAUAAAAAUUAAUAACUAAUUUUGUGCCAGCAGUUGCGGUUAAACAAAAAUUAAAUUAAAUUUUUUCAGUAUUUAAUAAAUAAAUAUAUAAUUAAAAUAAAUAUUAAAUUAUUAAGUAAAAUUUUAAUUUAAUUAAAUUUUAAAUUAUUUUUAUGGUUUAAUAAAUUUGUUAAUAAACUAGGAUUAGAUACCCUACUAUUAAAAAUUUAAUUUAUAAUACUAAAAUAGUAAAUAAAAAAUAUUGAAACUUAAAUAAUAUGGCGGUAUUUUAGUUCAUUUAGAGGAAUCUGUUUAAUAAUUGAUAAUCCACGAAUAAAUUUACUUAAUUUAAGAUUUUAUAUAUCGUUGUUAAAAAAAUAUUUUUUAAUGAUAAUAAUAUUUAAAAAUUUUUAUUAAAAAUUAAUUCAGAUCAAGAUGUAGAUUAUAAUUAAGAAUAUAAUGGAUUACAAUAAAAUAAUUUAGAAUGAAAAAUUUAAUUUUAAUAUUAAUUUGAAAGUGGAUUUAAAUGUAAUUUUAAUUAGUUUAUUAAAAUGAUUAAAAAUUAAAAUAUGUACAUAUUGCCCGUCACUUUCAUUUUAAAAUUGGAAUAAGUCGUAACAAAGUAGAAGUACUGGAAAGUGUUUCUAGAAUGAA